CUGCGAGGCCGAGGGACAGAGUCAUCAGCGCCAGCACCGCGCGGCCACCGGCUCCACACGGCAUCGUCCUGCGGAGAGAGGAGCGCUGCGUGUUACUUCAGCUCUCCAGCAAGAACAUGGGGACGGAUCCUGUCACCAGCCCACUGGUGUGGAGCCAGAUUCCCCCUCCCAGCCCCAAUUCCAGUUUCUCCAACCCCGGUGCUGACACCGGUGUCCCACCGAACGUGAGGGAAACGGGGGCAAAUCCUGCUUUCAGCUGCCCCGGGGGUAAAUCAGGAGGGAAAUGCUGAGCUCAGCACAGCCCCAGACCCUGCAGUGCUUCCCCACUCACCUACAGCAUCGGCGUCCCGCGGGCGCCCACGGCACUGCCCGGCCCUGGCGAGGCUCUCCCGGCCACGGUCCCGCUCUCGGAGCCGGGGCAGCUCUGCUCCGUGCCCUGCACCCCGGCUUGGAGGAGCUUCAUGGGUCUGCUCCCCUCCCGUCCCGGCACCGGGGCAGCUCCCGCGGCUGCGGCCGUGCCCGUCCCGGUGGGGCAACGUCGCCGUUCCCGGCCCGGCCCCGGGGGCUCGGCAGCCCCGUCGUCCGACGCAGCCGCUUGGCAGGAGCUCUGUGGUCUGGAUGUGGGAGAAGUCAAAAAAAUGUUUCUUAUUACUGCCUCUUCCUGCCUGGCUUCUCUCCACCACUCCCAGCUAAUAAAGCAUUUCCUAUUGCUGA